UCCCUUUUUUGCUCCUCUAUCCCCUCAACAUAUCAUUCUCUUCACCCUUGCCUUGUGUGAUGUUCAUUGAACCUAGACAAGAUGAAGAACACUCUUUUGUUCCAUCUUUUCAUUCUUUUCUUUUACAUUGCCAUUCCCCUCCUUUGCUUCUCUCUUUUAUCUCCUCCUCCCUUUUGCACCACAUUGAACCACCAUUAUUUUGUUUUUGGCCUCCUUUCCUCCACUGUUAGCCACCACUAUUCCACCUAAACACCACCAUUUCAUCACCAUUACUCCUAUUCUCUUAUUCUUUUUGUUUCAUUGCCGCCCUUAGCGCCACCCUCCACCAUCACGACAACCACCGCGCAACUCCUCUCUUUUUUCUUAAUUUUCUCUCUUCUCCUUUCUUCUCUUUUAAAUGAGUGAUCAGACUCAUAUUCUUUUCUUCUCCUCCGCUGAACUACUGCAUCUGUCGUCAAACCGCUACCUUUGCCGCCGCCAUCGCUGCUACCAUAGCACCAUGAUCGACGGGUUGAUCGACACCAACUUGAGAGACCAUUAACGUGGGAAUCGAAAUAACUAAUCCAAGUGAUUAUUUCUAAGGGUAAUCUAAUCGUUAGAUCCACGGUGAGCGUUCUUAAAGAGUUGUUGCACAUCAGAUCUACAAUCAUGUAUAACCCGAGGUUAGGAUUUGAAGAUGGCAUUUGGAGGAGUUGCUCGAAAUUCUUUUUAAAUUAAAGUAAUUAAAUUUUAUUUUGAUAUUUUGAUAUUUUGAUAUUUUGGGUUUGUAAUAAGUUUGGGUAUGGACUAUGGCAUGAGACUUUAUUUUGGGGAUUUUUCAUUCUGAUUUGCAUAAAU